rnacentral:rRNA from 1 species
GACGAACGCUGGCGGCGUGCUUAACACAUGCAAGUCGAACGGAAAGGCCCUUCUGUGGGUGGGUGCUUGGGGGGCGAACGGGUGAGUAGCACGUGAGUAACCUUCCCUUUACGGUUGGAUAACUGCAAGAAAGUGGGGCUCAUACCGGAUAGGAGCGCCGCCUGCAUGGUGGUGGUAGGAAUGGUUCGGCGGUUGGGGAUGGACUCGCGGUUUGUCAGCUGGUUGGGGGGGUAGUGGCUUACCAUGGCUUGGACGGGUGGCCGGCCUGAGGGGGUGACCGGCAAAAUUGGAACUGGAAUACGGCCAAGACCCCAACGGGGGGAAGCAGUGGGGAAUAUUGAACAAUGGGCGGAGCCCGGAUCAAGAAACGCGGCGUGCGGGAUGAGGGCCUUCGGGUUGUAACCCGCUUCAGCCGGGGACGAAGCGUGAGUGACGGUAAUGGGUAAAGAAGCACCGGCUAACUACGUG